GAUGGUGUUGUGUUGGUGUGUUGUGUGUCCUAUACUGUGAGCCUUCCACCCAACACUCUCUCUUAAAUGACACCACAAUGAGCAAGGGUAUAAGGAACUUGGUGUCAAAAAGAAAGAGAAGGUUUAAAGAAGAUGGAUAUGAUUUGGAUCUUAGUUAUAUCACAGAUCGUCUUAUUGCCAUGGGCUUCCCUGCUCAGAAGCUGGAGGGGGUGUACAGAAACCACAUUGACGACGUUUGCCGCUUCUUAGAGGACAGACACAAGGACCACUACAGAAUAUAUAAUUUGUGCUCUGAAAGAAAUAGAUCGUAUGAUAUAGCAAGAUUUCAUAACCGCGUUAGAACCUUCCCGUUUGCUGACCACAAUCCUCCUCCUUUGAUUGACAUCGAGCCAUUGUGCAAAGACAUGGCAGAUUGGCUUAACGCAGAUCAGAAAAAUGUGGCUGUUGUGCACUGUAAAGCUGGAAAGGGACGAACAGGUGUCAUGAUAUGCUGCUACUUACUUCACUGCCGGUUCAAAAUUUUAGCACAAGACGCAUUGGAUUUUUAUGGAGAUAAGAGAACUUUUGAUAGAAAAGGAGUAACUAUACCCAGCCAAAGAAGAUAUGUGGAGUACUAUGCCAAACUAGUCACCUCAAACUUUAAUUAUAAUCCACCUUAUGUCCGCCUCAGGGAAGCCAGAAUGACUGCACCAUUAUCCAGUGUAAACUCAGAGGUGUAUCUGGUAAUAAGCACCCACAAUAACAAAAAGGGUUAUAGCUCGCAACCGUGUGACGUGCGAAAAGGCAAGGAAUGGCUGCUCCUACCCGUCAAGAAUGAGGAAGCCAGACCAUUUUCAGGGGAUAUCAAGAUUGAGUUGAAAAGAACCAACUUUGUUAGACGAACAGACAAAUUACUCAGUGCCUGGUUAAAUACGCACUUUAUAUUCGAGGAAGGGAAAAAAAUAACUAACGGCUGCGAAAUUACGGCGUCUGACCAAAAUAAUCACAACACCUGCAACACACAGAAUAUCAGACAAAGAAGUAAUAGUUUUCGUGUGGCCAAGCAUGACUGCUUUAGGCACAAGAGACGGGAGUCAGCAGAAGCGAGGGCACAUCCCGCCGGCCUCGGCGGGGACAGGCAAGACUCUCGCAAGUCCGAGAGGCACAGUCGCGAUCGGGAAGAGAGCAAGAGCCUCCCCACGGGGCAUCUCACCAGCCUAACACAGGAGGACUGGCCUCCCCCCGGGGGUGAUCUCAGUCCCUUUUCUCGGCCCCGCCACCAAAAUCGUCAGCGUCGUCGUCACCAUACCCAGCAUCUCCCCGUGUGCGUCGGGGCGGGAGAUCCAUGGGACGAGGCGCGGGCGAGCGAGCAGGAGGUACUGGUGGUGUUGAAGAAGGACCAGUUGGAUAAGGCCAACAAGGACACACAUCACAAACUACUACCGGAAGACUUUCAGAUUGAAUUAUGGUGGCUGGUGUCGUACGUAAACAAAGGGAGCAGUAACGUGCUGGAGUCUCGAGAGAGCGGCUCUACCCCGAGUACCAUCACCCCUUCCGGCUCCUCGUCAGACACGGACGACGACGAUGAUGACGAAGAAGACGAAGACUGGGACUCAGGUAGGAAGUGCUCAAAGGGCUUACAUACCAGCUACAGUUUGCAGAACCUCAAUGGCCACUGCCCAGAGCGCUACGUGGGUCGAUAUCGGCUCAUGUCGGACUGUUCGGCCGCCCACCCGAAUCAUUACACGAUGCCGGAGGGCCCUACAUGACCCUAGCCCCCCUCACCACCACACAUCCUGCUUCCCCAUGACACAAACAUGAACUACAUCCCGCGAGUCUACCUACUUGUGAACACGCGAAGCUUUGGCUGAGUGUUUUGGCUUGGCAUUGUGUACCUGACCCUCCAGAAGUGAUGCAUGUAGGACCCCUCCCCACACCUCUAGUACUCAUCACACCUCACCAUGAGUAUGCCACCAACAUCCACGUCCGAGCCAUCCAUGAUAGUUAGUCGGCUGGUCGCCCCGGUGUUGGCAUUUCAAAGGGACCUCUGACACUCCCCUGAGAAUGUGCAAGAAAGCCUUGUGAUGAGACUCCUCACUCACAUAAACUUUUAUUCAUAAACAUAAAUAUUGUGUUAGUGAACAACUUGAAGGUUGUUAACAAUGUUAGAGAUUGUUUUAAAUUUAAUUCCAAACCCAGUUAAACUUUAUGGGUUUUUUAUGUUCUGGUGUGAGCAUCUGGACUUGUGGUAUUCAUCUAAAACAGUUGCCACUACCUGUAGUUAAAAUAAUUUACAUAUACUUUGUUGACAUUGGAAUAUUUUAUAUGCAUGAUAUCACAUUACAAAUGCAUCCUUAGUGUGAGAAGAAAAUGAUUUGUACAAGUACUAUAUCUCUGUGUGAGAGAUGGAGAUUUGGUCCAUCAGAAUUAGGAAGUUCCUGCACUUGUAUAUCUUGCUUGUUUAUGUGCAUUUAAUGAUCAGCCUCAUCUGUUAUACCUAACCAAGUGGUGUGUAACUUUUGAGUCAUAGUCAAGGAAGAUGACUUGUCUGUAGGUCAGUCAUAUACAGUACAGUACACAACAACCACUGUACUGUACAGUACAGUGGUUGUUGUGUACUGUACUAUACUGUACAGUAUGCAACAACCACUGUACUGUACACUGUGUAUCUAAGUCACCCUGGACAGUACAUUACACUACCUGGUUCGUGAAAUACUCAUUGAGCUGUUUAUAUUCUGAAGUGAUUUUAUCAAGCAACCGCAGCAAAAUACUUUACAUAAGGACGACCGCUCCUUCAACACAACACCUUCAUUAACGUGCAGUGUGUAGCAAUAAGUGUGCUUAUAGGUUAGUAUGAAGGGUGUGAGUAGUGAAGACAAAGUUGGGUUUUACUUAUAUAUUUGCCUUUUUAAAAGGAAUGAAUUUGUCAUGUCUAAUGGUGCAAAAUGCUCUUGAUUUUUGCCAGUAGGCAGGAAUGACAUCUUUUUCGUUAUUAAUUUGAUUACAGCAAAAGUUUUACUUUUGAGCAUCAAUUUCAACUUGAUAACUUUUUUGUACAUAAUUGUAAUCAUAUCUCCUUUGUGUUGCCGAAGGCAUUAAAAUUUUUUCAGCGUGCAGUUAUUAGUUGCCUCCAUGUUGUUAAUCUGAGCCGUGGUCACCAUCUAGAAAUGGUAAAUUACUGAAUUUACUUUCCCCAUUAGUUUUUUUAUUCAUUUAUACUUUUCUAAAUACAGUACUUGAAAAGGAGGAAAUUAUUAUUAAUUUACCAAAGUAAUGAUGCUGAAAGCUUGAUUUUUGAGUUUUGCUUUGAGAAAGCAUAUUUUAAAAGCUAUGGGAAUAUUUGCAUGUAAAAGAGGAGGAUCGGUUAAGGUAGAGUACAGUACAGUAUAGCUAAUGUGAUUGUUCAAGUUAGUUACAUACAAAUAUUUUAAUGUAGUCACUAUUUUUUUACUUAAUUUUAGUUUAGUUUUGACUAGAAAGUACAAAGUAUUGUUAGAUGUUGUAGUAUCAUGCAUUUGGAAAGUGAUUCAUCAGAUUUUUUGUAUAUAAGUGGUUUAAGAGGAAGUAGGAUGUACUUUAUAUGGUUGGUAUUAUCACAUAUUGAACUAUUUGUACAUUACUGAAAUAUUAUUUUAUAUUAUCAUUAAAUUGAUUUUCUUUAUGGCUGCCACGAGUGUAUUCUCGGGCCACACUUCACCAAAGAUAAUUAGCCGGUCCCCACCCACCACAGUACUGUAGUGAGCUGCUUUGUUGAGCACCACACAGGGCUCUUACCCAUACACUGGGCAGCACGGUCACAUCUCAUUCAACUCUUUGUACACACGCUCGGUUACUACAGCGGGUGGUGGACCUGGACUGGGUGGCCCCUCCAGUACGGGAUGAAUCCCACAACGGCCACGGAGUAAUGACAUAAAUUACGUUAUGUGAGUUGCCGGGGCUGUGUGCCACACCUUCACCCACCGCUGGGCAGGAGUUGGAAAAUAAAAUCUUCAGUCAUUGUUUUUUUUUUUUUCAUGUCAUUAAUAAGGAAGUUAAGUGUACAGUAGUUGACUCAGCACACACUGGCUGUGCCCUGGGUGCUGAAGUGUUGAUUUGGUAAUGAAAUAGUAAUUAAGAAUUUAUUUUCUAAACCCUCCCUCUGUUUGAGAAAUUUGAAAAUACAAAGUAAUAAUAUUUAAAAUAUAUAACAUGUAGUAAUUUGUAACAUAAUGAAUUUUUUUUUUAUUAAAUUCAUGUGGUUAAAAUAUAUAUUUCUAUAUUCAUCUUCUCAUUACACUCAUGCUUAUACAAUAGCUAGACCUUUUCUUAUUUUAUUGUGAGUACAAGAUUUUUCUUUUUUUAGUUAAGGUGUUUAUGUAUGGGACUUACAGCCACGUGGGUCCUGUCUCCCAUCAUCUCUUUUGUUCUGAAGAUAAAUGAGACUUUAUUCAUCACUCAUUAGUUUUGUUAAUAAAUGCUGGUUAUUAGAAAAAAGUAUAAAUCUGGUAAUGUACAAAAGGUGAAGCAUUUAAAAGAAGAAAACUGUCACUUCUUA
rnacentral:misc_RNA from 1 species